AAACUUUGCAAUGUGCGAAAGCACGACAAGGUUAAUCCGAGUGAUUCCUGCUAAAGGAAUCUUUUGUUAGUCAUAAUACCACUGAUGAAUAAGGGGUGGGCAAGUUCUGGUGUCAGCCGCCGCGGUAAAACCAGCACCUCAAGUGGUCAGGAGGAUUAUUGGGCCUAAAGCAUCCGUAGCCUGCUCUGUAAGUUUUCGGUUAAAUCUAUAUGCUCAACAUAUAGGCUGCCGGAAAUACUGCAGAGCUAGGAAGUGGGAGAGGUAGACGGUACUCCGUAGGAAGGGGUAAAAUCCUUUGAUCUAUGGAUGACCACCUGUGGCGAAGGCGGUCUACCAGAACACGUUCGACGGUGAGGGAUGAAAGCUGGGGGAGCAAACCGGAUUAGAUACCCGGGUAGUCCCAGCUGUAAACUAUGCAAACUCGGUGAUGCAUUGGCUUGUGGCCAGUGCAGUGCCGCAGGGAAGCCGUUAAGUUUGCCGCCUGGGAAGUACGUACGCAAGUAUGAAACUUAAAGGAAUUGGCGGGGGAGCAC
rnacentral:rRNA from 1 species